GACAGCAGUAGCCGCGGGAAUACGUAGGUGGCGAGCGUUGUCCGGAUUUAUUGGGCGUAAAGGGAGUGUAGGCGGUCUUUUAAGUCUGAUGUGAAAGCCCACGGCUCAACCGUGAAGGGUCAUUGGAAACUGGGAGACUUGAGUGCAGAAGAGGAGAGCGGAAUUCCAUGUGUAGCGGUGAAAUGCGUAGAUAUAUGGAGGAACACCAGUGGCGAAGGCGGCUCUCUGGCCUGUAACUGACGCUGAGGCUCGAAAGCGUGGGGAGCAAACAGGAUUAGAGACCCCAGUAGUCCCUGUCUCUUAUAC
rnacentral:rRNA from 1 species